ACUACCAUGCAGUCGACGAAGCCUUCGGGCUUAGUGGCGGACGGGUUAGUAACGCGUGGGAACGUGCCCUUCUCUACGGAAUAGUCCCGGGAAACUGGGGGUAAUACCGUAUACGCCCUUCGGGGGAAAGAUUUAUCGGAGAAGGAUCGGCCCGCGUUAGAUUAGAUAGUUGGUGGGGUAACGGCCUACCAAGUCUACGAUCUAUAGCUGGUUUGAGAGGAUGAUCAGCAACACUGGGACUGAGACACGGCCCAGACUCCUACGGGAGGCAGCAGUGGGGAAUCUUGGACAAUGGGGGAAACCCUGAUCCAGCCAUGCCGCGUGAGUGACGAAGGUCUUAGGAUCGUAAAGCUCUUUCGCUGGGGAAGACAAUGACUGUACCCAGUAAAGAAGUCCCGGCUAACUCCGUGCCAGCAGCCGCGGUAAUACGGAGGGGACUAGCGUUGUUCGGAAUUACUGGGCGUAAAGCGCACGUAGGCGGAUCAGCAAGUUAGGGGUGAAAUCCCGGGGCUCAACCCCGGAACUGCCUCUAAAACUGUUGGUCUUGAGUUCGAGAGAGGUGAGUGGAAUUCCGAGUGUAGAGGUGGAAUUCGUAGAUAUUCGGGAGGAACACCAGUGGCGAAGGCGGCUCACUGGCUCGAUACUGACGCUGGGGUGCGAAA
rnacentral:rRNA from 1 species